GACGAACGCUGGCGGCGUGCUUAACACAUGCAAGUCGAACGGAAAGGCCCUGCUUUUGUGGGGUGCUCGAGUGGCGAACGGGUGAGUAACACGUGAGUAACCUGCCCUUGACUUUGGGAUAACUUCAGGAAACUGGGGCUAAUACCGGAUAGGAGCUCCUGCUGCAUGGUGGGGGUUGGAAAGUUUCGGCGGUUGGGGAUGGACUCGCGGCUUAUCAGCUUGUUGGUGGGGUAGUGGCUUACCAAGGCUUUGACGGGUAGCCGGCCUGAGAGGGUGACCGGCCACAUUGGGACUGAGAUACGGCCCAGACUCCUACGGGAGGCAGCAGUGGGGAAUAGUGCACAAUGGGCGGAAGCCUGAUGCAGCAACGCCGCGUGCGGGAUGACGGCCUUCGGGUUGUAAACCGCUUUCGCCUGUGACGAAGCGUGAGUGACGGUAAUGGGUAGAGAAGCACCGGCUAACUACGUG
rnacentral:rRNA from 1 species